GACCCGGUAGCUCAGUCGGUAGAGCAGCGGCCUUUUAAGCCGUAGGUCGUGGGUUCGAUCCCCACCCGGGUCA
rnacentral:tRNA from 1 species